rnacentral:piRNA from 1 species
UGCAUGUGGACUCACUGGUGAGAACUCGU